rnacentral:rRNA from 1 species
GGGGAGCAGCCCAGAGUCUUAAUCAGCAUCAGCAUCAGGAGAACGGUCUGGAAAGGCCGGCAAUAAAGGGUGAUAGCCCCGUAUCCGAAGGUGUUGGUGUUGUGAACUCGACGAGUAGGGCGGGACACGUGUUAUCCUGUCUGAAUAUGGGGGGACCAUCCUCCAAGGCUAAAUACUCCUGAUUGACCGAUAGUGAACCAGUACCGUGAGGGAAAGGCGAAAAGAACCCCGGCGAGGGGAGUGAAAUAGAACCUGAAACCGUGUACGUACAAGCAGUGGGAGCCUUGAUUUAUCAGGGUGACUGCGUACCUUUUGUAUAAUGGGUCAGCGACUUAUAUUCUGUAGCAAGGUUAACCGAAUAGGGGAGCCGUAGGGAAACCGAGUCUUAACUGGGCGAAUGAGUUGCAGGGUAUAGACCCGAAACCCGGUGAUCUAGCCAUGGGCAGGUUGAAGGUUGGGUAACACUAAC